UUUCUGGCCGAGUUGUCUAUGUUUGCUCCUCACUGCUUGCUCUACUACUGAUUGUUCUUUGCCUGGUGUUGAAAUGGUGGACAACUCCACUUAGUUCUAGAGACCCUGUGUGGGUCACAGUGAUUGUGCUGAUCCUGGGGCUCAUUCUUGGAAUUGUUGGAGUUAUCCGGAAACAGCCACAGAGCAACACCCCCCUUCACUUUAAGGUGCCUGGUCUGCCUCUGCUCCCACUGGUGAGCAUCUUUGUGAAUGUUUACCUGAUGAUGCAAAUGACAGCUGGCACUUG